rnacentral:rRNA from 1 species
GACGAACGCUGGCGGCGUGCUUAACACAUGCAAGUCGAACGGAAAGGCCCUGCUUUUGUGGGGUGCUCGAGUGGCGAACGGGUGAGUAACACGUGAGUAACCUGCCCUUGACUUUGGGAUAACUUCAGGAAACUGGGGCUAAUACCGGAUAGGAGCUCCUGCUGCAUGGUGGGGGUUGGAAAGUUUCGGCGGUUGGGGAUGGACUCGCGGCUUAUCAGCUUGUUGGUGGGGUAGUGGCUUACCAAGGCUUUGACGGGUAGCCGGCCUGAGAGGGUGACCGGCCACAUUGGGACUGAGAUACGGCCCAGACUCCUACGGGAGGCAGCAGUGGGGAAUAUUGCACUAUGGGCGGAAGCCUGAUGCAGCAACGCCGCGUGCGGGAUGACGGCCUUCGUGUUGUAAACCGCUUUCGCCUGUGACGAAGCGUGAGUGACGGUAAUGGGUAGAGAAGCACCGGCUAACUACGUG